rnacentral:rRNA from 1 species
UACAGAGGAGCCAAGCGUUGUCCGGAUUGACUGGGCGUAAAGCGCACGCAGGCGGAUGCGCGCGUGGGGUGUGAAAUCUGGCCGCUUAACGGCCAGGCGCCAUCCCAUACGGCGCGUCUGGAGUGAUGCAGAGGUCGGUGGAAUUGCCGGUGUAGUGGUGAAAUGCGUAGAUAUCGGGAGGAACACCAGUGGCGAAGGCGGCUUCCCUGGCCUGUUCUUGACGCUGAGGCGCGAAAGCUAGGGGAGCAAACGGG